rnacentral:rRNA from 1 species
ACGCUAGCUACAGGCUUAACACAUGCAAGUCGAGGGGAAACGACAUUGAAGCUUGCUUCGAUGGGCGUCGACCGGCGCACGGGUGAGUAACGCGUAUCCAACCUGCCUCUGACUAAGGGAUAACCCGGCGAAAGUCGGACUAAUACCUUAUGAGGCUUUCUGCAGACAUCUAACGAAAACGAAAGAUUUAUCGGUCAGUGAUGGGGAUGCGUCUGAUUAGCUUGUUGGCGGGGUAACGGCCCACCAAGGCAACGAUCAGUAGGGGUUCUGAGAGGAAGGUCCCCCACAUUGGAACUGAGACACGGUCCAAACUCCUACGGGAGGCAGCAGUGAGGAAUAUUGGUCAAUGGGCGAGAGCCUGAACCAGCCAAGUAGCGUGCAGGAUGACGGCCCUAUGGGUUGUAAACUGCUUUUAUGUGGGGAUAAAGUGAGCUACGUGUAGUUUAUUGCAGGUACCACAUGAAUAAGGACUGGCUAAUUCCGUGCCAGCAGCCGCGGUAAUACGGAAGGUCCAGGCGUUAUCCGGAUUUAUUGGGUUUAAAGGGAGCGUAGGCCGUGGAUUAAGCGUGUUGUGAAAUGUAGACGCUCAACGUCUGAAUUGCAGCGCGAACUGGUUCACUUGAGUAUGCACAACGUAGGCGGAAUUCGUCGUGUAGCGGUGAAAUGCUUAGAUAUGACGAAGAACUCCGAUUGCGAAGGCAGCUUACGGGAGCACAACUGACGCUGAAGCUCGAAGGUGCGGGUAUCAAACAGGAUUAGAUACCCUGGUAGUCCGCACAGUAAACGAUGGAUGCCCGUUGUUAGUUCACUUUAGAAUUAGCGACCAAGCGAAAGCAUUAAGCAUCCCACCUGGGGAGUACGCCGGCAACGGUGAACUCAAAGGAAUUGACGGGGGCCCGCACAAGCGGAGGAACAUGUG